GCGUGAAAACAAGCAAAAGAAAGUCAUACCUAAGUCAAAACUCAUGGCCUUUUCUUGAGCCCACCUUUAGCCAAGUCGAGCCAAUGGCUCAGCCAAUCGCCCCUCGCGGCACCGUUCAAUGGUGUAAACAUUGUCUUUUGGUUCGUGACUUGCCGAGGAAGAAAGCCAAAACAUGAAUCAAGGGCUGAAGUCCAUGUCCCCGGUGAAUCUCUCCGAACGGAACCAACUCCCUUGGAAGGUCGCAUUCGCGGCUCUCGGCGUUUUCGCCGUCUGCUUCUUCCUCUUCUGGCUCGCCACCACCCUUUGUGAGCGUCCUUUUUGGCGAUCGAUAUGCACGCUGCUAGACCGUUUAUGGGGAAACCCCAACGAGAAAUAUGAAACCAGUUUCAAUUCCGAGCGGCAGUGUUCUUUCAACACUACGAUUUCAUUCGAGCGGCCGUUUCCGUUUGAGCGCGUGCUAUACUUAGCGGUGUUUGCGUUUGUACAGUUGCAAGCGUGGCUUCGUCAUCUCGCAAGCUUACAGUACACACAAUACUGCUGCGUCAUUCAGUUUCCUUCUUUAUAUUUUUUUUUCUAGAACACGCUGUCGGCUCU